rnacentral:misc_RNA from 1 species
AUGAUUUAUCUUUAAACAAACCGUGAACUUUAUUAUCUAUUCGUGUAUUUUAACAAUUUAUUGUUUAAUUACACUGUCAUUCGAUGAACAUUAGAUAGCUGGCUCGUUUUUUAUUAAACUUUCUCAGCUGAUUUGUUGUUAGACUAAACAUCUAUUCAAUGAUCAACCAAACAUAGAAACAACUCUAUCCCCUGGAUAUCUUGAUUCU